rnacentral:rRNA from 1 species
CCCUUCAGAGGGGGACAACAGUUGGAAACGACUGCUAAUACCGCAUACGAUCUAAUCUCGGCAUCGAGGAUAGAUGAAAGGUGGCCUCUACAUGUAAGCUAUCACUGAAGGAGGGGAUUGCGUCUGAUUAGCUAGUUGGAGGGGUAACGGCCCACCAAGGCGAUGAUCAGUAGCCGGUCUGAGAGGAUGAACAGCCACACUGGAACUGAGACACGGUCCAG